UACAGAGGUCCCAAGCGUUGUUCGGAUUCAUUGGGCGUAAAGGGUGCGUAGGUGGCGCCGUAAGUCGGGUGUGAAAUUUCGGAGCUUAACUCCGAAACUGCAUUCGAUACUGCGGUGCUUGAGGACUGGAGAGGAGACUGGAAUUCAUGGUGUAGCAGUGAAAUGCGUAGAGAUCAUGAGGAAGACCAGUGGCGAAGGCGGGUCUCUGGACAGUUCCUGACACUGAGACACGAAGGCCAGGGGAGCAAACGGG
rnacentral:rRNA from 1 species